UACGAAGGGGGCUAGCGUUGUUCGGAUUUACUGGGCGUAAAGCGCACGUAGGCGGAUCGUUAAGUCAGGGGUGAAAGCCUGGAGCUCAACUCCAGAACUGCCUUUGAGACUGCAUCGCUUGAAUCCGGGAGAGGUGAGUGGAAUUCCGAGUGUAGAGGUGAAAUUCGUAGAUAUUCGGAAGAACACCAGUGGCGAAGGCGGCUCACUGGACCGGAAUUGACGCUGAGGUGCGAAAGCCGUGGGGAGCAAACAGG
rnacentral:rRNA from 1 species